AACGAACGCUGGCGGCAUGCCUAAUACAUGCAAGUCGAACGAUCACUUCGGUGAUAGUGGCGCACGGGUGCGUAACGCGUGGGAAUCUGCCCUUGGGUUCGGAAUAACAGCUGGAAACGGCUGCUAAUACCGGAUGAUGACGUAAGUCCAAAGAUUUAUCGCCCAGGGAUGAGCCCACGUAGGAUUAGGUAGUUGGUGGGGUAAAGGCCUACCAAGCCUACGAUCCUUAGCUGGACUAAGAGGAUGAUCAGCCACACUGGGACUGAGACACGGCCCAGACUCCUACGGGAGGCAGCAGUAGGGAAUAUUGGACAAUGGGGGCAACCCUGAUCCCGCAAUGCCGCGUGAGUGAUGAAGGCCUUAGGGUUGUAAAGCUCUUUUACCCGGGAUGAUAAUGACAGUACCUGGAGAAUAAGCCCCGGCUAACUCCGUGCCAGCCGCCGCGGUAA
rnacentral:rRNA from 1 species